AUGAGCAGGGCUAUUAUCAUAAAUCUUAUCAACCCCUCCUAUAAUUUUUGCAGCUAUCAGCCGCUUUUGCUUCCCCUUAAUUCUUCUAUUAUCACCUAUCGAGGUAGGCUCAAUGUGAUAUUUAGAAAUGGGGGAGGUCGUACCUUGCAGAUCCAACGGGAGCCCAGUCUCCUCGUCGGAAUCCUCACCAGCGAGCAGCCAGAAGCAACCGCCCGCCGGCGAGGUCCCUACCCCCGUCCCUGGGAGCAAGCGAGAUCGAGCAGGCGUGAGGAGCGACGUGGGAAGCGCGGUGACCUCCUCAGAAUCAGCGGCAUCUUCUUCUUGAUCUUCUUCUUCGUCCCAAGCUUCAUCCCCCUCCUGCCCUCGGCGCGCCCCAGAUCUGCCCGUGCGUCCGACGUUGCCGCAGCCCUGGUCGCCACCGGAGCUGGAGCGGGGAGACCCAUCACCGCGCCGACCACAAAUCCCGAUGGAUUCGUCGGAGCGUAG
rnacentral:rRNA from 1 species